AAAAUACCAUUUCCCCUCCAAAAAUAUAACUUUUCACCAAAAUAUAAUAUUUUACCCUCAAAGAAAUGUUUUUUUUCUUUUGUGAAGUCGACACUUAUCCAAUUUGUACCACGUACAACGAUCUCGCUCUCUCUCUCUCUCCCGACGAACACUCAAAUCUGGGAAUCCCAGUGAUUCUAUAUAUAGCUCUGAAAUUACGUCAUGGAAACCGGGCAACUAAUCGUAUUAAUCAUGUGACUAUUUUACUGGAUUCCGGUCUUGCGCGAGAAGGGUGUUUCGUCAAUUAAUUACUGGAAACCAGUCGAAUUUUCAUCCGGGUUAUGUGAAAGCCAAAAUAUAAACGUUAAAACAGAAAAAGUCUCACAAUUGGCGUUCAUACACGAACAAAAUAAAACGUUCGGACUCGGAAAAUAUUAAUUGCGUUGACGCAUUUUUUAAGAAUGAAUCAUCAAAAACCAUUGAAACCAAGCAGGAUUCGGAGAUGUGAUGUCAGAAGAGUGUGAUUUGACUGUGAAGGUUUUAUCCCUCUGAUUCACAAUCUCUGGGAGCCGGUCUGUAGAAAUGUUUGUCCGUGGUUGUGCGGAGGUAGAACCGGUUGGAGGCUCCCUGACACCCAUAAGCAGAUCUGCCUCUGCACCGCAAUACUCACAGGGCUGAGAACAGCCUGAACCUGGAACCAGCCAUAGGAGUGGAAUAUUGUUGCAUACCCGAGUUCUCCUGCAUUGGUUCUGCUGGGACAAUCAACUCUCUACGACAGUACUUUCUGGACAGCAAGUUUCUUCUGUUGGAGUGAAGUUCCUCACCUGAAGGAUUUAAUAGAAAUCAACUUACACUGUAGUCUCUGAUGACUGAUUCCAAGACUUUCAAUAGACUGUGUUUGAUAAACACAUAUGGAAUUCAAUUUAACCACAGAAUUGUUAACAGAAACAUCUCUAAACCUUUACAGGUACAGAGAAUGAAUGAUUAAUCAUAUCCUACCUGUGUCCUUGCCAGCAUAUCUGGGGUUCUUGACCACAGUGGUGAUGCUGUGACUAGUGUAGUCAUCAUAGCUGUCAUCGUGCCCACUGGGACUGGGGGAGGUCUGCUCCUUUAGAACUGUCUCCAAAUCCUUGU